GCAAGUCGAACGAAGAGACAUGGGAGCUUGCUCCUAUGAAUCUUAGUGGCGAACGGGAGAGUAACGCGGAAUCAACCUGCCCAACAAUGGGGGACAACAGUUGGAAACGACUGCUAAUACCGCAUACGACCUACGAUUGGCAUCAAUCGUAGGUGAAAGGUGGCAUCGACAUGUAAGCUAUCGUUGUAGGAGGGGAUUGCGUCUGAUUAGCUAGUUGGAGGGGUAACAGCCCACCAAGGCGAUGAUCAGUAGCCGGUCUGAGAGGAUGAAC
rnacentral:rRNA from 1 species